rnacentral:tRNA from 1 species
GGAGUUGUGGCUCAGUGGUAGAGCACUUGUCUCAAACCUAAGAGACACUAGGUUUGAUCCUCAGCACCA